AUUUAUAGUCAAAACGCCCUGAAGGCAACCAAUCCCAUCAGAUCUUGGAAGCUAUCCAGGGUCAACCUUGGUUAGUACUAGGAUGGAAGACUGCCAAGGAACAUCUGGUCUUAUAGGCU
rnacentral:rRNA from 1 species